GCCCGCUUGGCGGAAUGGUAGACGCAUGGGUCUUAAACACCCUGGCCGAAAGGCGUGCCGGUUCGAGUCCGGCAGCGGGCA
rnacentral:tRNA from 1 species